rnacentral:rRNA from 1 species
GCAAGUCGAGGGGCAGCAAGUCAGUUUACUGAUGUUGGCGACCGGCGCACGGGUGCGUAACGCGUAUGCAACCUACCUAUUUCUGGGAGAUAGCCCGGGGAAACCCGGAUUAAUAUCCCAUAGUAUCACAUGAUGGCAUCUGAAAGUGAUUAAAGUUUCGAUGGAAAUAGAUGGGCAUGCGUAAGAUUAGCUUGUUGGUGAGGUAAUGGCUCACCAAGGCUACGAUCUAUAGCUGGUUUGAGAGGAUGAUC